AGUGAACGCUGGCGGUAGGCCUAACACAUGCAAGUCGAACGGCAGCACAGUAAGAGCUUGCUCUUACGGGUGGCGAGUGGCGGACGGGUGAGGAAUACAUCGGAAUCUACUUUUUCGUGGGGGAUAACGUAGGGAAACUUACGCUAAUACCGCAUACGACCUACGGGUGAAAGCAGGGGAUCUUCGGACCUUGCGCGAUCGAAUGAGCCGAUGUCGGAUUAGCUAGUUGGCGGGGUAAAGGCCCACCAAGGCGACGAUCCGUAGCUGGUCUGAGAGGAUGAUCCGCCACACUGGAACUGAGACACGGUCCAGACUCCUACGGGAGGCAGCAGUGGGGAAUAUUGGACAAUGGGCGCAAGCCUGAUCCAGCCAUACCGCGUGGGUGAAGAAGGCCUUCGGGUUGUAAAGCCCUUUUGUUGGGAAAGAAAAGCAGCAGGUUAAUACCCCGCUGUUCUGACGGUACCCAAAGAAUAAGCACCGGCUAACUUCGUG
rnacentral:rRNA from 1 species